rnacentral:lncRNA from 1 species
UUGAAUCAAGUUGUUCCUUGCUGCGCUUGAUCUUUGUUUGCAAAUUACCGGUCCCCGAUUAAUUUACAUAACCGAAGAGGUGAUACAGGAACCAAGAAACAUGUCGGACCUUGAAAGUUCUAAAAUGAAAAAAGUGACAGAUGUAGAUUACGAAAAGCUGACUGACGUUCAAAAAAUGUACAUGAAAAGAAUUGAGCGUUUUAAUAAAGGUAGAGCCACAGAACAUAUUGUUCAGAGAACAUCCAAACGAAAAUAUGCAGGGUUCUUCUUUGCCACAGUAGUAGGAAUCUAUUUUUACACAAUAUUUGCUGUGAAACAAGAACGGCUUGGAGAGGAAUUUGAUCAGAGAUACACAGAACAAAAAGCACAGAGUGGAUAGUAUACAUCUGCGUGGUGCAAGGAUAGAUGAGGAACUUCG